rnacentral:rRNA from 1 species
UACGAAGGGGGCUAGCGUUGUUCGGAAUUACUGGGCGUAAGGGGCGCGUAGGCGGUGUGUCAAGUCAGGCGUGAAAGCCCCGGGCUCAACCUGGGAACCGCGCUUGAGACUGGCACGCUAGAGUUCGGGAGAGGAUGGUGGAAUUCCCAGGUGUAGAGGUGAAAUUCGUAGAUAAUUGGGAAGAACACCGAUGGCGAAGGCGAGCCAUCUGGACCGACACUGACGCUGAGGCGCGAAAGCGUGGGGAGCG